UACGGGGGGGGCAAGCGUUGUUCGGAAUUACUGGGCGUAAAGGGCUCGUAGGCGGCCAACUAAGUCAUACGUGAAAUCCCUCGGCUUAACCGGGGAACUGCGUCUGAUACUGGAUGGCUUGAGUUCGGGAGAGGGAUGCGGAAUUCCAGGUGUAGCGGUGAAAUGCGCAGAUAUCAGGAGGAACACCGGUGGCGAAGGCGGGUCUCUGGGCCGAUACUGACGCUGAGGAGCGAAAGCGUGGGGAGCGAACAGG
rnacentral:rRNA from 1 species